GACGAACGCUGGCGGCGUGCCUAAUACAUGCAAGUAGAACGCACAGUUUAUACCGUAGCUUGCUACACCAUAGACUGUGAGUUGCGAACGGGUGAGUAACGCGUAGGUAACCUGCCUGGUAGCGGGGGAUAACUAUUGGAAACGAUAGCUAAUACCGCAUAAUAUUAAUUAUUGCAUGAUAAUUGAUUGAAAGAUGCAACUGCAUCACUACCAGAUGGACCUGCGUUGUAUUAGCUAGUAGGUGAGGUAACGGCUCACCUAGGCGACGAUACAUAGCCGACCUGAGAGGGUGAUCGGCCACACUGGGACUGAGACACGGCCCAGACUCCUACGGGAGGCAGCAGUAGGGAAUCUUCGGCAAUGGACGAAAGUCUGACCGAGCAACGCCGCGUGAGUGAAGAAGGUUUCCGGAUCGUAAAGCUCUGUUGUAAGAGAAGAACGGGUGUGAGAGUGGAAAGUUCACACUGUGACGGUAUCUUACCAGAAAGGGACGGCUAACUACGUG
rnacentral:rRNA from 1 species